AGAACCAAGUUCUCACGACUACACCACUUUAGGAAUUAAAAAAAAAAAAAAAUGUUCUGUCGGAUCCGCAUUUUUCAAAACUCACAAAAAAAAAAAAAAAGGAGUACAGCUCUAGAAACUCGUUCCACGGCUGAAAAAAAAAAAAAAAGCAGGAGGCAGCUCAGCGUAGGGCUGGCGGGCUGCGACGCCCGGGCCCGCGACGCCCGCCCCGCUCCGGGACCGCCUCACUCAGGAGAAGGGUGACCGCGCAGGAGGCGAGAGAGGCUGGGGCGGUACUUCCCGUCGGACCCUCCCCUGCCGUCCUCCCAGCCGUUACCUUUGCCGCGAGGCCUGCGCGGCGCCCGGCCCUAGCAACGGCCCUAGCAACGGCCGGGCUCCGCCCUCCGGUGUCUUCCGGAAAGCGCUCCGCCGCGUCCGUGCGCGUCCACGGCCGGGCGCGCGCCUCGGGCUCGGGCUCGGGCGGAGCGGCGGACGCGUGGAGCUGUGCGAGGACCCGCGGGCGGUGCAGAAAGGGAAGAAAAUAGUUCAAAAUUUGUGGAAAUACAGCAGCCACAAACUGCUUCCAGAUCUUCAGAAGAUCCUCUGCAGAACUUAUGAAAAAAAAAAAAAAAAGUUCUUCAAAAAGCUCAACGAAGUGGGAGAUCAAAAAAAAAAAAAAAUGGUGGUUCCAGAAUGUUCUACUGUUAUACAUGAAAAAAAAAAAAAAAAAACGUGCCUCUUGAACAGAUGCCACUUGUGAAAAAAAAAAAAAAAAAUAAUUGUUUGAAAGAAGAAGAACAGAUUUGAAAAAAAAAAAAAAAAAAGGCCUGCUCUAAUAUAAUUGAUAAGCUUGAUAAAAAAAAAAAAAAAAAAAAUGAAUUAUAUCAAUAGAGAAUUUAAUCCUAAAAAAAAAAAAAAAAAUUUGUUUUUCUUGUCUCUGGAAAAAGAGACACAAAAAAUGUGGCAUUAACGCAAAUACUACAAGAAACAAGUUUAUAGACAAAAAAAAAAAAAAAUGAAGACUACCUCGGGUCCUCAGGCUGUCCUUUAAAAAAAAAAAAAAACGGAACUAGGAUUGAUUUUCUUUGGCUUUUGUAAAAAAAAAAAAAAAACCCCAUCCUAUACGUGGAGAUGGAACAGAUGUCAAAAAAAAAAAAAAAACUAAACUAAAAUUUAAAAGACUAAGACCUAUUAAAAAAAAAAAAAAAUAAUUGUAGUGAUCUUAAAUAUUAAUUUGAAAUAAAAAAAAAAAAAAAACUUUUUAUUGCUUACCA
rnacentral:lncRNA from 1 species